rnacentral:lncRNA from 1 species
CAGAAACACAAAUAAAAUAUGUAACUUUAAUCUCCUUGGGGCUUAGCCUGCCCUUUAUGAGUCGGAUUUUUUUGGCUAAGAUAUUGAGUUGGGUCUGUGUGGUGUUUUCUGUUGUAUGCUAGCCUGUACCUUGUACAUAGGCUACCAUACAGUUAAUAAGAUGGCAUGUGUUUUGUUACACCAUAAGAACCAAGUUUAUGUCUGUACAAAUUUGCUUUGGUUGCAGGUGCUCGUGUGUAUUUAUGGUGGGUAUGUAUAGGCUGUACUAAAUGUUUUGUGUAUGUAUUUUCCAGAAAGGUUGCAAGGGACUGGAGUGUGAUGAACUGACACCCUGUUCAGCAGGUAUUCCUACUUUGUACCAAAUGAUCAUCGGUAUGCUCUGGACCACCACAACCCUGACUUGGAAAAAGAAGAUAAGAAGAUUAAUAAAAUGGAAGGAUCAUGGCUGGUCCAGACUCUACACGGAAUCACUGGAGACAAGGCAGGAACACCCCCUGGACAGGGCACCAGACUAUUACAUGGUACCACACACAGCCACUCACUCACACACUCACACUUAGGGGGCAAUUUAGUGUAGCCACUUCACUUACUACUUGUAUUUUUGGGAGGUGGUAGGAAAUUGGAUCACCCACAGGAAACCCACAUGGACAUACAAAGAACACACAAAACUCUUUACAGACAGUGACCAGAGCAAGGAUCAAACCCACAACCCCAGAUCUCUGAAACAGAACACAUAAUAUCUGC